rfam:Canis lupus familiaris chromosome 2, whole genome shotgun sequence.
AUCCUUUUGUAGUUCAUAAGUGUGAUGACUCAGUGUUUAUACUGUUGUGACAUGUACCUCCCUCAAACUCUUACAACCAUGGCACACGACCUGCCUGACA